rnacentral:rRNA from 1 species
GAGUUUGAUCCUGGCUCAGGAUGAACGCUGACAGAAUGCUUAACACAUGCAAGUCUACUUGAAUUUGGGUUUUUAACUUAGGUUUGGGUGGCGGACGGGUGAGUAACGCGUAAAGAACUUGCCUCACAGCUAGGGACAACAUUUAGAAAUGAAUGCUAAUACCUAAUAUUAUGAUAAUAGGGCAUCCUAUAAUUAUGAAAGCUAUAUGCGCUGUGAGAGAGCUUUGCGUCCUAUUAGCUAGUUGGUAAGGUAAAGGCUUACCAAGGCGAUGAUAGGUAGCCGGCCUGAGAGGGUGGACGGCCACAAGGGGACUGAGAUACGGCCCUUACUCCUACGGGAGGCAGCAGUGGGGAAUAUUGGACAAUGGAGGAAACUCUGAUCCAGCAAUUCUGUGUGUGUGAAGAAGGUCUUCGGAUUGUAAAACACUUUUAGUUGGGAAGAAACAAAUGACGGUACCAACAGAAGAAGCGACGGCUAAAUACGUGCCAGCAGCCGCGGUAAUACGUAUGUCGCAAGCGUUAUCCGGAAUUAUUGGGCUUAAAGGGCAUCUAGGCGGUAUAACAAGUUGAAAGUGAAAAGCUGUAGCUCAACUAUAGUCUUGCCUACAAAACUGUAAUACUAGAGUACUGGAAAGGUGGGUGGAACUACACGAGUAGAGGUGAAAUUCGUAGAUAUGUGUAGGAAUGCCGAUGAUGAAGAUAACUCACCGGACAGAAACUGACGCUGAAGUGCGAAAGCUAGGGGAGCAAACAGGAUUAGAUACCCUGGUAGUCCUAGCUGUAAACGAUGAUUACUGGGUGUGGGGAUGAGAAGUCUCUGUGCCGAAGCAAAAGCGAUAAGUAAUCCGCCUGGGGAGUACGUUCGCAAGAAUGAAACUCAAAGGGAUUGACGGGGGUCCGCACAAGUGGUGGAGCAUGUGGUUUAAUUCGACGCAACGCGAGGAACCUUACCAGACCUUGACAUCGCCGGGAGGUCAUAGAAGUAUGACUGUGCCUUCGGGAACCGGUAGACAGGUGGUGCAUGGCUGUCGACAGCUCGUGUUGUGAGAUGUUGGGUUAAGUCCCGCAACGAGCGAAACCCCUAUCAUUAGUUGCCAUCAUUAAGUUGGGGACUCUAAUGAAACUGCCUGCGAAGAGCACGGAGGAAGGUGGGGAUGACGUCAAGUCAUCAUGCCCCUUAUGGUCUGGGCUACACACGUGCUACAAUGGGUAGUACAACGAGAAGCGAUAUGGCGACAUAAAGCAAACCUUAAAAACUACUCUAAGUUCGGAUUGAAGUCUGCAACUCGACUUCAUGAAGUUGGAAUCACUAGUAAUCGCAAAUCAGCAAUGUUGCGGUGAAUACGUUCUCGGGCCUUGUACACACCGCCCGUCACACCACGAGAGUUGUUUGCACCUGAAAUUACUGGCCUAACCGUAAGGAGGGAGGUAAUGAAGGUGUGAAUAGUGAUUGGGGUGAAGUCGUAACAAGGUAUCCGUACCGGAAGGUGC